AUAUAUACAAUAUUUACAAUAUAUACAAUAUUUACAAUAUAUAUAAUAUUUGAAAAGUACAAUUAGUACAAGACAUGUUACAAAAAUUAACAGGGGGGCUUCAUACUAGAUAAAGCCUGGUGUACACAUAGAUUAAUUUAUAAUUUUGAUUAUUUGCAGAGUUUAAUAACCUUAAAUUUCUUUUUCAAUGACAUUAAUAAUUUAUAUUUUAAAAUAUUUGGUUUGGUGUAUCUAUAUUUUUGUAUGUAAUUUUCACUCUCCUGUUCACAAAAAUGACAUUUUAAAAGACAGUGAAAGUUAUCCACGAGUUCAUUGUUUUUACAUUGAGUGCAGUUGCUACAUGUAUUUUGUCUGCUGGUAUAUAAAAAAAUAAAUAUAUAUAAAAAUUAUUCCAUUGUGCUUCAAGUGUUUUGGGAGUAUUAACACGAUUGCAAUAUAUGUUGAAUGAAUUAAUUUGAUAUACAAAGAAGGAAUUUAAAGAAAAAUAAUAUGUUUCAUACAUUAGUAAUGAAAUUAAAAAAUAUCAC
rnacentral:lncRNA from 1 species